rnacentral:rRNA from 1 species
UGCAGUCGAACGAUGAACCACUUCGGUGGGGAUUAGUGGCGAACGGGUGAGUAACACGUGGGCAAUCUGCCCUGCACUCUGGGACAAGCCCUGGAAACGGGGUCUAAUACCGGAUAUUGACCUUCACGGGCAUCUGUGAGGUUCGAAAGCUCCGGCGGUGCAGGAUGAGCCCGCGGCCUAUCAGCUUGUUGGUGAGGUAAUGGCUCACCAAGGCGACGACGGGUAGCCGGCCUGAGAGGGCGACCGGCCACACUGGGACUGAGACACGGCCCAGACUCCUACGGGAGGCAGCAGUGGGGAAUAUUGCACAAUGGGCGAAAGCCUGAUGCAGCGACGCCGCGUGAGGGAUGACGGCCUUCGGGUUGUAAACCUCUUUCAGCAGGGAAGAAGCGAAAGUGACGGUACCUGCAGAAGAAGCGCCGGCUAACUACGUGCCAGCAGCCGCGGUAAUACGUAGGGCGCAAGCGUUGUCCGGAAUUAUUGGGCGUAAAGAGCUCGUAGGCGGCUUGUCACGUCGGUUGUGAAAGCCCGGGGCUUAACCCCGGGUCUGCAGUCGAUACGGGCAGGCUAGAGUUCGGUAGGGGAGAUCGGAAUUCCUGGUGUAGCGGUGAAAUGCGCAGAUAUCAGGAGGAACACCGGUGGCGAAGGCGGAUCUCUGGGCCGAUACUGACGCUGAGGAGCGAAAGCGUGGGGAGCGAACAGGAUUAGAUACCCUGGUAGUCCACGCCGUAAACGGUGGGCACUAGGUGUGGGCAACAUUCCACGUUGUCCGUGCCGCAGCUAACGCAUUAAGUGCCCCGCCUGGGGAGUACGGCCGCAAGGCUAAAACUCAAAGGAAUUGACGGG